UACGUAGGGUGCGAGCGUUAAUCGGAAUUACUGGGCGUAAAGCGUGCGCAGGCGGUUCGCCAAGUCAGGUGUGAAAUCCCCGGGCUUAACCUGGGAAUUGCGCUUGAAACUAGCGGGCUUGAGUGUGGCAGAGGGGGUGGAAUCCACGUGUAGCAGUGAGAUGCGUAGAGAUGUGGAGGAAUACCGGUGGCGAAGGCAGCCCCCUGGGACUAACACUGACGCUCAUGCACGAAAGCGUGGGGAGCAAACAGG
rnacentral:rRNA from 1 species